rnacentral:lncRNA from 10 species
GAAUGCUAGUUAUUUGUCAGAUACAUGUUUUGCAAACCAUUUAUCUGUAUUUGGUUUCUUUUUGUUAUCUUAGCAGUGUAUCCUGAAGAAUAGUUUUAAAUUUUGAUGUAAUCCAAAAUAUUUCGGUUGUUUGUGUUCUUUGUUAUCCUAUUUUUGUUGUUGUUGUUUUAUAGAUAUGGGGGUCUCACUACGUUGCCCAGGCUGGUCUUGAUCUCCUGAACUCAAGUGAUCCUCCCACCUCAGCCUCCCAUCCUUGUCUACCUAAUUAGGCUUUGUGUAACUCAGUGUUGCAAAGCUUUGACAUCUGUUUGAGUUAAUGUUUAUAUAUGUUGUUACUUAAGGGUUUCACAUUAAAUUUAAACAUACUUAUAUUUUAUAACCAAACAAGUCAUGUUGGGGCAUACUCAUUAGGAUUGAGUGCUUUCUUACACCAAAAUACAUGUAUACAAAGAUUUAAAACACUUUCGGCCGGGCGCGGUAAUCCCAGCACUUUGGGAGGCCGAGGCGGGUGGAUCACAAGGCUAGGAGAUCAAGACCAUCUGGCUAACACGGUGAAACCCUGUCGCUACUAAAAAAAUACAAAAAAUUAGCCAGACGUGGUGGCAGGCGCCUGUAGUCCCAGCUACUCGGGAGGCUGAGACAGGAGAAUGGCAUGAACCCGGGAGGCAGAGCUUGCAGUGAGCCGAGAUCACCCCACUGCACUCCAGCCUGGGCGACAGAGUGAAGGCUAUGUCUCAAGAAAAAAAAAAAAAAACUUUUAUAAUAACAACUGUAAAUAGUUCAAUUGACAGUCAUUUGUAAGAUGUUUAAGUAAACUGUGAAACAGUAAGUAAAUGGAUGAAAACACACUGAUUAAAACUGCUGCUUUUAUCCAACAAGAUGGAUGAAUUUCCCAGGAAAGAAUACUUGAGUUCAGGCCUGUUCAAGUCCCAACCUGUUUGUGGUUUGAGGUUGCUCUCUGCCUCGUAGAGCAAAGUGGAAAAUUUAUCUUCUGGGAGGACAGAGUUUUCUUCUCUGAAAAAGUUUCCUACAUAGUUGGCUUUGGCAUUUGCAAGGAAUGAAAGGUCAGGGAUUGAGGCCUCAUGAGUCUGGAUUUCUAGCUGAGGUUGAGAGAAAAGGUAGUGAUUGUAACCAGAAAAUCCAGAGUGGGUGUAUUUACCUCCAGAACUCAUCACUUAAAAAAAAAUUUUUUUUGAACUGACAUGCUUGAGGCUUUUUCUUUUUUUUUUUUUUGAGAUGGGGUCUUGCUCUAUCCCCCAGGCUGGAGUGCAGUUGUGCAGUCAUAGCUCACUGUAGCCUUAUCCUCCUGGCCUAAGCAGUCCUCCUGCCUCAACCUCCCUAGUAGCUGAGACCACAGGCGCAUGCCACCUGUGAGUUUCUAGAGAUGAGGUCUCCCUAUGUUCCCCAGCCUGGUCUUGAACUCCUGGGCUCAAGUGAUCCUCCUGCCUCAGCCUUCCAAAGUGUUGGAUUACAGGCGUGAGCCACUGUGCCUGGCCAGAGCUCAUCACUGUUAACUCAGCCUGGGUUUUUCACAGCAGUCAUGGAAAUAGAUUCAUUAAUAAUAGUAACAAAUAUAUAGUCUCCCUCUCAAAGAAACCUUGAGUGGCAGUGGCAUACCAGAUACACAGUAGGAAAUACUGUAGAAUUAUGUUGUUAAGUUCAUAACCAAACAUCAUACAUGAUGAUAAAAGACAAGAUAAUGGUCACAUUUAUGCAGUAUUAACUGAGAGGGCAAAUUUGUGCCUGAGAAGCUAUUGGGAAUGUUCUCUCUCUUUGCAUUACUAGGAAUUACAUGGGAAACACAUGUAGACAGUCUUCAGGCUAUUAAGAUUUGUCCACUUAAUCUUUACUUAUACAUGAAUAAAAAAUGGGAAAACAUGAUAAAUAUAAUAAACUAAUACACUCAACCCUGCCCCUUGAUUAUAUAAUAGAACAAAAUCAGCAUGCCCGGCAUGAGCCUGCCAGAUUGCCAAUUCCAUCCUCCACCUUCAGAGGAUGCCGCCAUCCAGAAUUUUGCCUUACUCAUUUUACUUUCUUCAUAGUUCGACACCUUAAAUGUAUAUUACUAAUAGUAGCUUUGCAUUUUUGGCUGAUUUAAAAAUUGAUAUAAAUGAAAUAAUGCUGUAGAGAUGCUUUUUGGUAUUAAGUGGAUAUACUGUUAUUCUUAAAGAUGUUUGAAAUGAAUAUACCUUUCUAAAUAUCUUUUUAAAAUAAUACAUUAAAUGAUACUGCUUUAGAAUUCAUGAACUGCAUCUCAUGAGAAUAUGUAGAGAUGACGUGGGCAGGUAAAGUAAAACUUCAGGUUGAAUAUCCUAUGAUAAUUUAAAAAUGACAAAAUAGUGUGGUGAAUAAUAGAGCUUGAGCACUUUAAGGCACCGUAGGGACCCCUUCAAUGUAAUGAUGACAGUGCUGAGGUGCAGAGAAGUUAGGUAAUCAGCCCAAGCCACUACUCUAAGGACAGACCCUAUCUACUUUUCCUAAUUUGUCAGAAGACUGCCUAUGAUACUACUAAUAAAAAGUCCUAUGAAAUUGGUAUUGUCAUUAUUUUACAAAUAAAAUAAUCUUCAAUUUUUGUUUCCUCUAUGCAUGGGUUACUUAGUAUUUUGUAAUUUGAAUUUCAAGCAUAAUUAAAAAGAAAUCAGGUAUCUAGGCUGGGCAUGAUGGCUCAAGCCUGUAAUCUCAACAUUUUGGGAGGCUGAGGCAAGAGGAUCACUUGAGGCCAGGAGUUUGAGGUAUCUUUUGUUGAUCUCUACACUGAUUGUAUUCUCUCUUUUAUUCUAUGAAAGUUAAAGAUUUUUUCUGAUACUACAUAUUGUCAGUUUUUUAAAUACUCAGUUUGUGCUAAAAGAAAACAUUCGGCAACUGAUAUCUGCUGUUCUGUAUGUAUCUGUCAGUCCAGAUUUGUCCAUUAUGGUGUAUGAAUCUAAUAGAACCUCACCAAUGUUAUACCUGCCUUCUUGAAAUCAUUACUGAGAUAGCUAAUAUUAAAAUAUCCUGGUUUGUCUGUAUAUUUAAUUCUUUACUCUCAUUAUACUAAAUUUUUUUAAUGUAAUUUGAAUUGAUGGUAAAAAUUGUAUACAGGCCGGGUGCAGUGGCUCACUCCUAUAAUCCCAGCAUUUUGGAAGUCCUAUGCAGGAGGAUUGCCAGAGGCCAGGAAUUUGAGAUCAGCCUGGGCAACAUAGUGAAACUCUCAUCUUUAUAAAAAGUAAUAUUAAAAUUUUUAAAAGUGUAUAAACUGUAAAGUAUAUUUUACUGGUGUUUUCUUCCUUAUUCCUACUUGUCAGAUGCAAAUACACAUUUUUGUGUGUUUGUGUUUAGUAAUUAUAAGUAUACAUAUUUCAUUCUUCUAUUUCAUAUAUUUCUAUGACAUUAUAUCUUAGAUGUGUAAUUUAUGAACUACUACUGGAUUAUUUUAAUCCAUUAGAAAUUACUAUUCACGCAUUCUGUAUUCAAUUCAUGUGAUAGCUAAUAUAUUUGGUUUUAAAUGCAUCUUAUUUUGUGGUUUUCUUCUAGGCUGUUUUUUGUGCUUUCUUUUAAAAAUAUAUAGGUUUUAAUAAUCUUAAUUUUCUUUUAGUUUGAAAUGUAUAUACUCAUUUUAUUCAUUAGUCUAAGAUAAGAAUUGUAACACUUCUCUAACCUAUUAUAGAAUUGUUAAUACCUUUACCCUUCUCUUGAACACAUCAAAGGAUGUCAUUGAGUGUUGGUAUUGGAGUAUAGCAUAUCUAUUAUUCUGCUCAAUUAGAAGAUAUUGUUCAUGUUGUAUAGAGAUAAUAAGUAAUUGUAUUGAUCUGCAGAUGCAUCCAUCUCUUGGAUUCUCAUUCCUUCUACCACUGCAGAACUUUCACCUGUAAUCACUUUCCUUUGGCCUUAAGGAUAACUUUUAGGGUUACUUUUCUACUAAAUUUCCAAUUUUUGACCAGAUAUAAUCUUAUAUUGUGCUCUUCCUGAAAAAUACUAUUGUUGUGGAUAGAAAUCUGGGUUGGUAGUUAUUUCUUCAGCAAUUUGACCAUGUCAUUCCACUGUGUCCCUGGCCUCCUGUAUACUGGAUGUGAAUGGAUACAAUUAUAUAUUGUGUUUAUAGUUUUCCUGUGCUAUAGGAACAGUAUUCGAAUCUGAUGCAAAGGACAACACACCCUAGAGAUUGUAACAGUGAGAUGAACCAAGUGAUUGGAUGGGGUUUUGAGUUGCUGGAAUAAUGGAGUUACAGUGUACAAUGCAUAAGCAACAUAAUAAAUUAUAUAUCUGGUGAACAAAUGGA